UUCAACUCUCUCUCUCUCUAUAUACUUUAUCUUUCCUCUCUUUCUUCCUAAUUUUAACUUCACAUUUCUUUAUUCUUUCUCCUCUUCCCUCUUUGUUUUUCCUUGUGCAGGCGCAGAAAUUGGAGAUCCAUGCCAUUUUCCUUCUUUCAUCGAGUCAUUAAGUGAGGAUCACCGAAUGGGAUUGGAAUGGGUUGGAGCACCAUUGGAACGUGACACACUAAUGGCAUGUAUCACGAGCUGGUCAUGGUAGAUUCUUAUGUGAGUUUGAGCCUUCUUGGGACACGCCACGCCUAUGUCGUUUACCACGACCUGAUUGUGGUGAAUUCUGUUGAUGAUUAGUAGCUUUCUGGGAGUGUGUCAUGCUUAUGGCAUUUAUCACGGGUUGCCUAUGGUGCAUUCUAGUUGUUUAGUUUUGUCAAGUUCUCACUUUCUUUUGUAUUUUCCAAGUUCCUUAACUCCUUCCUUACUUUCAUGCUUAGCAUGGGAGGGAUUGAAAAGGUGUCUUAAUGGGUUAUGAAGUGCUAGGCUAAGUGUAAACCUCCAUAAUAGGAUUUGAAGCUAUGUGUGAGGUUACGUGUGGAGCCUAUGCAUAUUUUUAUUAUUGCCUUCUGUGUAUGAUUCUUGAAUACUUGUUAUUGCUUGGUUUCCUCUUUGUACCUUGAUGAUUCAUGGUAUUGUGUUGGCAUCCUUAUUGCAUUCAUAUGAUUAUUGCAUAUGCCUAGGGUUGCAUGUAAUGAUAAACCCUUUUAAUAAAAGAUACAUAAAACACUUUAGAUUAUACCCAUGUCUCUUAGCAAAAGGUGGGGAGUUUCCCCUAAUAUUUCAAUAAAGGUUUUUAAGAAAAUGUUAUGGUUUCAAGAAAGGUUUCUAUUGAAAGGAUAUCCCCUUAGUGACAUAAGGUGAAGCCUUUCCCGAUACCAAUCAUGUUCGAGAGUCACAUGCUUGUCAUACCACGGUGUGCAAAAAGGCUAACAAUCCCUUAGGUCACCAAGGAGUGAUGAGUUUUCUAAAGGUUUACUAAAAUAAUUUUUAUGGAAAGAUUUUAGCAGGAGGAAAGGGAAUGAGGUUACAAAAAGAGAAAAGGGGAUAAAGGAAAUGAGGCAACUCCAAGGAGUUGAAAGAGGGCUAAGAGGACCCCUAGAGAUGACUUGACACUCGUGGAAGAAAGUAAGCUUUUUCAUAAGGAAUAAGAAGGGGUCCUUCGUAGAGAAUGACAAACCAAGUGGCUCCUCCUCAUAAUGGAGAUGAGUCUGUCCACUUGAAGCAAUAGGUUAAUAAAAGAUCACAGCAAGAGAGAUGCCUCUUGUUGGCUAUAGCUUGGCCAAGUAAUGAAAUAUGUGGUGGAAGAGAUAAAUUAAAUAAAGAGAUAAUACAAAGCACAUAACUGUAGAAACAAACUAGGAUAAGUUGAUGUGCAUGAUGUACAUAUGUUUUCUAUGUUAAAGCAUUUGAGGAGUCAUGAGCCUAGUUGUUAGGUAAGUUUGUACAUUAGAUGAGGAUGUUGUAGCUGGAUACUACCUUUAAAGGUAGGAGAAUGGUUAUGCCCAUAGAAAGUUAACGUAAGCUACCCUGAGAGGUAUGCAAAAUGUAACAUCCCAAAAAUAAUUUAAUAAUUAUUUAGAUAAGGAUAUCUAAAUAUAUUGUUUAGUAAGGGAAAAGAUAGAUUAAUUUUUUUAAAUAUUAUAUAGUUAUUUUUAUUUGUAAAAGAUGUUAGUGUAAUAAUAUAUUGAAUUGGUUAAAGAUAAUUAUAAUUAAAGAUAAUAAAAAUAAUAGAUAAAGAAAGAUCGAUUAAACAAAUUUCAAGGACCGAGAAAAAGAAAGUGGAAAAAUUCUUUCAACACAAUUGGUAGAGGAGAAGAAGAAUAAUGAAAAACAUAAAUUUCUUGCUUCGAGAGGUGAGUAAAAUAACUUUUUUUAAACCUCCAUGGUGUGAAUUCAUGGUAUGAAUUCUUGAGAAUGUGUUUUCCUUAUAUAUAUAUAUAUAUAUAUAUAUAUAUAUAAUUUAACCUUUAGGAUCAAAAUCAAUGGUACAUAUGUGUGUUAUGUUCUAGCCAUUGCAAAUAUUAUAUGCCUUAGUUAUUAUAUUGCUAUAUAAUCGUUGUUAUAUAUGUGGUUUCAUAUCAUUAGUUGAUUCUAUUGUUGUGGUGUGAUUUUGAGAAUUAUUAUUGAAUGCAUGAAAUUAAGGAGUUUGUUGGUAGUUUUUUUUUUAAAAUGUUAUUCUUGUAAUUUUGUGAGUUAAUGAUCACCUUCUGGGAAUGGAUGAUGAUGUACAUUUUAUUAUGAAAUUAUAUGAUAGAUACCUCCAUCUAGGAUGGAGAUGAAAUUAUUAUAGAUACCUCCAUUUGGGAUGAGGAAGAGAGUUUGGAUAUCUCCAUCUAUGAUGGGGAAGAUAGUGAGAUGUCAUUGCAUAGAAUAUGAACUCAAACUCUUUGAAGAAUCUGAGAUCUACAUUGGUUCCGAGAACCAAAGAAUUGAGUCUUGUAAUUCUGGGAAUCACUAAGUUGUGUUUGUUAUAUUUUUUUUCUAUGCGUUGAGGUGUUUCCGUUUAUUUAAAUAUUUUAUUUAUUCAAAAUUUCAUGAAUUGUGAUUGUUUAAUAUGAUUUUUAUUGGUUUAUAAAUAUAUACAUAUAUAAUCUUAUAUUAAAUUCAUUGUGGAUAUCAUGGUUGAUUUUUCAGAUUACCGCAUUGGUUGAGCAUAAUACUAUUUGCGAACUCCUGUUAGUUGUUUUAUUCACUAGGAUUAUCAUGAUAUUAUAAGUGUUGUUUUCAGAGCACAAGAAAGAAGUUAUUGAGUUUGAGGAGACUUGAAGACAUAGUUUUCUUAGUUACAUUUAUUUUAGCUUGGUUAAUAUUUUAGAAUAAGGCAUCGGUUGUGGUCACUUUCGUUGUAUUUUUAGUGUUCAUUUAGUUUAGAUGCCCAUAUUUUGAGGAUAAUAUUUUUACUUAUGCAAAGACUUAUUUAUUUGACUUUAUUUAUUAUACAAGAGGUAUUUUCAAAUUAUUAUAAUUUUGAAAUUUUAUAUUCUUUCAGUAUGGGUUUUUUUAAUGAAGGGUGUUACGCAAAAUGUUAUGCCUCAUAGAGAGGGGUGAAAUAAGCCCAAGUUGGAAAAUCAGAGGAAGAAAAUGUUAUGCAUGUUCCCAUCCAAUGUUAUAGUAAAGUGAGACCACAAUGAGUGGGCAUGAGUAAAAGAAUGAUAUUUAGGUGCCUUAGUGCACUAGUGGCCUUAAAUUUGACAUAGAAAGCAACUCUAAGUGCCUCGGUAAAGGUUAAGGUAUGAUCUUAGUAAAUAGUAGUAUUGAUGUGUUGGGGGUAAUACUUGUGAGUGUGACUCUACCAAGAGUCUUUAGAACACUCACAGAGACAUUAUGUCUCAUCCUUGUUAGUUUUCAUGUUUUUACAGGUUAGCAAGUGGACACCUUGUGGGAGAAGCUUGGAGCACGGAGCUGUUCACUAGGAGGAAGGUGUUAUUAGUGUAGCUUUGUAUUGCCCUACGUAUGGGAGCUAGUUUAUGUUUCAUGUACCUUGCUUAUGUUUUGUAAAGCACAUAAGUGCCAAGAGCUUUGUAUAAGUUUUAUGUAUCUUUAAGUUUUAGUUUUCACAUAUAUAACUUUGAUUUUCUUAUAUGCUAAAUUUUCAUAAUUUAGUAAUAUAAGAAGGAAAAAGAUAAUAUCCUCUAGGUGUUACAUAUGAAAUUUCUUUGUGUGUGGAAAAGUACUUGAAUUGAAGUACCUUUGUGAAUGAAUAGUGUGCAUGGAA